GAUGAAGAACGUAGCGAAAUGCGAUAAGUAAUGUGAAUUGCAGAAUUCAGUGAAUCAUCGAAUCUUUGAACGCACCUUGCGCCCUUUGGCUAUUCCGAAGGGCAUGCCUGUUUGAGUAUCAUGAACACCUCAACUCUCAUGGUUUGCCAUGAUGAGCUUGGACUCUGGGGGUCUUGCUGGCCUAUGGUCAGCUCCUCUCAAAUAAAUCAGCUUGCCAGUGUUUGGUGGCAUCACAGGUGUGAUAACUAUCUACGCUUGUGGUUUUCCAUCAGGUAACCUUCAGUGAUGGAGGUUCGCUGGAGCUCAUAAAUGUCCCUCCUCAGCGAGGACAGCUUUUUGAACGUUUGAUCUCAAAUCAGGUAGGACUACCCGCUGAACUUAAGCAUAUCAAUAAGCGAGGA
rnacentral:misc_RNA from 1 species